rnacentral:rRNA from 1 species
ACGCUGGCGGUAUGCUUAACACAUGCAAGUCGAACGGAAACGAUACUAGCUUGCUAGUAGGCGUCGAGUGGCGGACGGGUGAGUAACGCGUAGGAAUCUGCCUGAUAGUGGGGGAUAGCCCGAAGAAAUUCGGAUUAAUACCGCAUAAUCUAUUCGUAGUAAAGUGGGGGACUUUCGAGCCUCACGCUAUCAGAUGAGCCUGCGUAAGAUUAGCUAGUUGGUAGGGUAAAAGCCUACCAAGGCGACGAUCUUUAGCUGGUCUGAGAGGAUGAUCAGCCACAUCGGGACUGAGACACGGCCCGAACUCCUACGGGAGGCAGCAGUGGGGAAUAUUGGACAAUGGGGGCAACCCUGAUCCAGCAAUACCGCGUGUGUGAAGAAGGCCUGAGGGUUGUAAAGCACUUUCAAUUGUGAAGAAAAGUUAGCGGUUAAUAACCGUUAGCCUUGACGUUAACUUAGAAGAAGCACCGGCUAACUCCGU